GUACACCUAAAAAUCGUGUUAUGCAAAUUAGUUGAAUCUAAUUAUACACUUCCUUGAGAUUUAAAUUUGCACUACUGAAAGUGAAAGUUGACUGUCCUAACUUAGUAUGAAAGUAGAAGUGGUCAGAAGAAUGGUUAAGAUUAUUUUAAUUGCAUUUUUUACUUUACUUAACGGGCAUUCAAUUUGUCAUGCUAAGAUACAUGUUCAAGUUUUGUACGAAUCACUAUGUCCAGAUAGCAUUAAUUUCGUAAUGCAACAACUCUAUCCGAUAUGGAACGAGGUUGCUCCAUAUGUGAAUAUUGAAUUUGUACCAUUUGGUAAAAGCUCGAGUAUAAACGGUGGACAACACUUUAUUUGCCAACACGGACCAAAAGAGUGCAUGGGAAAUAAAAUACAAUCUUGCGCUUUAUCGCUAAUACCAGAACAAAAUGCACAAGUAGAAUACGUAAACUGUUUUAUGAGCACAUUCAAAAAAGGCAUUGAUAAUGACAAUGAGCUAGGUCAGGGGUGCGCUGAAAGUCUGGGACUUCCUUGGGGAUAUGUAGCAAAUUGCUAUCAUUCAACUCACGGAACAAGAUUACAACUCGCCGCUGAGAAGGUAACAUUGGCGACUCGUCCCAAAUUUGUGCCGACCAUCAUUUAUAACGGACAUUUUGAUCAAAAAGCGCAAGAUGAAAGUCAAUUCAACUUUAAAGGGGUGUUGUGUUCCUUUAUAGUACAGUUGUAUCCAGGAGUUUGUCAAUAGAAAGCCUUUAGGUACAAAAGCUUCUAAGCAAGAUAGAUGUUUCUUUCUUUUAAUAAUAAACUUCGGGUAUUUUUGUGAUAUGUACCUACAUUAGUGGCCCUUUACCUAAUACUAAUAAUGAGAAAACUUCAGGAAAAUAUUAGACAUGGAAGAACCUGUCCCUAUAAGUACUCCGCCUUACCAUUAGAAUUUGAAUAUGUGGUCGAAAGGAUUAAACCGCAACGGGUCUGCUUUGGAUCUGCAGUGCAGCGAGAUACGAAUCCAAUUGGGAGAGGCAUAAGUGCAUUUCAAAAACGCUUUGCAUACGAACUGAAUGAUAAGGUUACCCCGCAAACUUACACUUACAACCACUUAACUUCGGGGGUGGCCCGACUGGCAAAUAAGGUGAGAAGUAAAAAAGGUGUAAGUGGUCUGUGCAAUGGUGCUGAGAGGUUUCCGAAUAAAAUUUUUAUGCGAAUACCGUCUCCUACAAGAUACACUACAGAGCCAUUUCAAAAAACCUUUAAGCAGAACUUUGUGCCAUUCAACAAAAAAGUAGGAAGAAAACUCACCAGUUUAUCACGGACUCCAGGACCAGGCCAUUACUGUGUAACAAAGAAACUGUGUCGGCGAACAAAGUGCGAUUAUAAUUUUGGGUUACCUAAAAUAAUUCCCGCCGUCGAAGUUGAAUGUACGGCGAAAGCAUUGCAUAAUUGUGGCCGAUGUGGCGAUAUUUGCAAGGACGAUUAUUGGCAUAAAAACUAUACCAGUUUUCUAUGUCACAUUUGUAUGGAGGAAGAAAAAGUUUUGAGGGAAGACUUUACCAUGAAACAAUUGAAGGAAUUUCAAAAGAUACGCCUCUGUUGGUAUAAGCAUAAUCAUGAAGGCGUGGAUGCCUAUACACAGUUAUAUUCAGACGAAAAAUUGAAACGAAGAGAAAGGUGUGAAAAUUACCUCAAUCUAUACAUUGAUUCUAUUAAUAAAUAACAGAGUGUACCUACAACACAUUUAGACUAAAUUAUUUAAUAAAAAAAUUGAUUGAGACACAAAUAAAUUAUAAAGAAUU